AUUGAACGCUGGCGGCAUGCCUUACACAUGCAAGUCGAACGGCAGCACGGGGGCGAACCCUCGGUGGCGAGUGGCGAACGGGUGAGUAAUGCAUCGGAACGUGCCCAGUAGUGGGGAGUAACUAGUCGAAAGAAUUAGCUAAUACCGCAUACGACCUACGGGUGGAAAGACGGGGGAGUUCGCAAGAACCUCGCGCUAUCGGAGCGGCCGAUGUCUGAUUAGCUAGUUGGCGGGGAAAAGACCCACCAAGGCUUCGAUCAGUAGCUGGUCUGAGAGGACGACCAG
rnacentral:rRNA from 1 species